UCGGGAAUUUUGGGCAAUGGGCGAAACCCUGACCCAGCAACGCCGCGUGAAGGAUGAAGUAUUUCGGGUAUGUAAACUUCGAAAGAAUAGGAAGAAUAAAUGACGGUACUAUUUAUAAGGUCCGGCUAACUACGUGCCAGCAGCCGCGGUAAUACGUAGGGUGCAAGCGUUAAUCGGAAUUACUGGGCGUAAAGCGUGCGCAGGCGGUUGUGUAAGUCAGAUGUGAAAUCCCCGGGCUCAACCUGGGAAUUGCAUUUGAGACUGCACGGCUAGAGUGUGUCAGAGGGGGGUAGAAUUCCACGUGUAGCAGUGAAAUGCGUAGAUAUGUGGAGGAAUACCGAUGGCGAAGGCAGCCCCCUGGGAUAACACUGACGCUCAUGCACGAAAGCGUGGGGAGCAAACAGGAUUAGAUACCCCCGUAGUCCCUGAGCGGGCUGGCAAGGCGCAU
rnacentral:rRNA from 1 species